CAAUAGCGUAUAUUUAAGUUGUUGCAGUUAAAAAGCUCGUAGUCGGAUUUUGGCUGAGAACGAUCGGUCCGCCGUUAGGUGUGCACUGAUUGGUCUCAGCUUCCUGGUGAGGAGGUGUGCUUCACGGCCACUUAGUCGCCGUGGUUACUUUGAAAAAAUUAGAGUGUUCAAAGCGGGCUUACGCUUGAAUAUAUUAGCAUGGAAUAACACCAUAGGACUCCUGUCCUAUUUCGUUGGUCACGGGACGGGAGUAAUGAUUAAGAGGAACAGUUGGGGGCAUUCGUAUUUCAUUGUCAGAGGUGAAAUUCUUGGAUUUAUGAAAGACGAACUUCUGCGAAAGCAUUUGCCAAGGAUGUUUUCAUUGA
rnacentral:rRNA from 1 species